rnacentral:lncRNA from 1 species
UAAAAUGUUCCAAUAAACUUAACAAAUUAAAAAAUAUUUUCAUUGACAAAAUUCACCAGCCAAACAAGUUAAGAAUAAGCUUCAUCCCAGUCUCCAUGUCCAUUUCAGUGUGACUCGAGUUCAGCCAGAUGAACUAACUCUCUGCACGCUUCAUCUUUCUGAUUUGUAAAAGACCAGCAAUGCUAAUCUCGGGGGUUUUAGACGGCUCAAAGGAGAUGAGAUAGGUGGAAUAGUGUAUAUCAAAAGACACCUGCAGGAAUGAUACAAUGUAGGUAUGUAGAUGUGUUGGAUCGCUUCUCGGCCUUUUGGCUAAGAUCAAGUGUAGAAUAUGUUGGUUUCUUUCUCGUACUAUAACUAACACAGCUUCUCUAAUUUGUAUUUCAGGGGGAAAAUAUUUUUUACAGACUUGGUGUUUUACAGACCUCUUGGUUACUCAAUUGUAAAUUUACCUCUAAAGAAAAAAAAUCUAGCCGGGGAUUUAGCUCAGUGGUUUCACAGCCUGCUGUGCAAGCGCAAGGACCCGAGUUCGAUCCCAGGUACCAAAAAAAAAAAAAAAGGAAAAAAAAUCUCUCUCCUGUCUCAAAAGCUGCACUUGGAAAACCUCCAUUCUAUCUGCUCUACGAUCCCUGGUUCACUGGCCUCCUGCCCACCCAUUUCGUCUUCCUCUCCUCAGGUACUGACGGUGCUUGAGACCUUUCCGUGACACUUCCUACACAAGGAGCAGAUUGGUUGCAAAUUGGUUACACAACAUUCAUCAGCAAAAAUAAUUCAG